CCUGUCACAAAAUGGUCACAGUCUGGAAGUGUCCUCCUGAGUCUUGCUAAAGUGCAAGUGAAAAACACCAAUUCACUGAUUAGCUCUAGCAAAACUGAAAAGGGUCCAUUAUUCCCAGAGAGGUGUGUAGCUGUACGAAAUGUUGUUUCUUAAUUUCCAGGAAUGGUUAUGCUAAAAUCCUGAUAAAUAAAAUCAAAGUAGAAGAAGAGUUGUGUCUUUAGAAAAUAGAUACUGUAAUAUAUGUUAAUAGGGCACUGCUACAGUAAUGUAGUUUAAUGCAUGCCAUCAGCAAAAUAAAUCUCAUCUCUAGGCUAUAAUCUUGAACAUGGUAAGACAUAUAACGGCACUCUGGAUUGCAGCUUUGUUAUUCUCAUUAUAUUUUAUAUCUUCAAAUCUUAAUUGUUUAUGAAAUGACAACAGGUUUUAUAUAUUUUUUCCUCUUGUCAUUUUUCCAUUUCAGCAUGAAAGCAUAAAAAAGAAGAAGCUUGUAUAGUACACAUGGGGCUGAUGGUGUUUGCCUUGCUGGAAGGGAGGAAGAUGUUACCAGGUAGCAACAGCCAUUCCAAAGGAUGUAGGAGAUCCAAUUAUGCCUAUAUCCCAUUUUUCCUGCACUAGUUGAACCACAGGCAUGGGGGCACAUACCUGGCAGCUAUAUAUAUUCUUCAAAUCUCUCUCUCUCUCUCUCUCUCUUUCUGUCUCCUUGCUGUAUAGCAAUGAAGUUCCCUCAGGCUUUGCAGUGUCAGCUCCUGGGCCCUCAACUUCUUAUUGCAGCUGACUAAGGGACACUGAAAGUAACCAUGUAGGACUGGCAGGAAGAGAAAGAGAAGAGUGAUCAUUUGUACAGCAUAUGCAUAGCUGUCAAGUGUCCCUUAUUUGAAGGGACAGUCCCUUAUUCCAGCGCCAUGUCCCGCUGCUGUCCCUUAUUGAUGGAUGCCCCUUAAAUGUCCCUUAAAUGAUGUCCCUUAAAUUUCAAAGGAAGCAGCUCCUCUCCCUCUCUCCCUGCCGGCCAGGGAGGAGGGAGGCUCCAACUGUGUUGCUUGGCUGUGUUGCUCACCCAAUAAGAAGUCUAAGAACGACUGGGGGGUGGAGCUUGCAUGCCUUGUGUGUGGCUAGUUAAUGCAAGCUGAGGAGGUUUUUGAAUGCUGGACGCCAUUUUGUUGCACGUGCUGCUGCAAACUUUGCAGCGGAAAGCCAGGCUGGGGAGCCAUCUUAAGUUGAGGCUGCAUAGGUCUUGCGGUGCAUGUGAUUCAGAUUCUAUUCAGUUGAACCUCUGGUUACAAAGUUGGUUGGACAGUGUUCUCGAAGCUACCCAGCAUGAGUUUGACCAGACUGCAGGAGGACAGGAAGACUGGAGUGCCUGGAACUGGUGAGGCUGCAGGUCCCUUAUUUUGGCUGCUGGUCCCUUAUUUUCAAAUCUGUAAGUUGACAGCUAUGAGCAUAUGCCAUUUAUUGAAGCAGCUACAGUUGAGGUCUCCCCUGAGCACCACUUGUAGUAUCAGCUGAAGGGUCUCUCUCCCUUUUCAGGGUCUGGAUUGCAAGUGAACGGUGCAAGAAUAUUUGAGUGCUCUCUCAGCAGAGGAGAAUCAGUCAAAUACCAAUGCCUUCAGUCUGUUUACUGCCUUGCCAGCACCUACUUAAGCAGUCCUGAUAAUGCUGUUCUUUUUCUUCUCUGGGAGUCAAGGAUGGGGCAUUCUUUAAAUUACAGCACCUUGUGGAUGAGCCCGAAGAUCAUGAUACCAUGAUGAAAGAAAUCCUCAUGAUAUAUUAGGAGAUGAAAAAUAUCUUUCAAUUCCCUUUUCACACAAGUAAUCAGGUAUUUCCCAAGGAGCCUUGCAGUAGCUCAAAAGCCUUGAUAGAUGCUGUCAGCUUUAAUUAGCUGCAUUCUGAUCCUUUACCCAAAGAGGUCAGUGACAAAAUUGCCAUUCAUUGAUGUUUACGUUGGCAGUGAGACUCCUGCAGUGAUACCUACAAAAUAUGUCUUUAAGUUCAUGGCUGUGAAUGAUGCUCCUGUCUCCCCCUGCCCAUCCUUCAAGAAUAAAAUUAUAUAGGAAACCUGUACAAUUAAUAUUAGUGUUAAAGUGUUAUUUUAAAGAAAGGCUUCAUGUAUGAUUGCACAUUUUUUUCAUUGCUUGCAAUAAAUUUGCUUGAUAAAGCCAUUCCUUACAGAUUCUUGAUUGCUGGUUUAACAGAACAGUUACUUUCUUUUACUUUGUGUUAUUACUGAAUCAUUGUUUCUGUGCUUUCAUUCUGAAGCUGUAUACCAGGGUGGGGAACUUAUAGCCCUCCACAUUACUGGACUAGAAUUCCCACCAUCCCCUAUGAAUGGCCUUGUGCCAGGGAUGAUGAUGAUGAUGAUGAUAAUAAUAUUUAUACCCCACCGAUCAGGCUGGGUUUCUCCAGCCACUUUGGGCGGCUUCCAACAAAAUAUUAAAAUACAAUAGUCCUUCAAAUAUUAAAAGCUGCCUUUAGAUGCCUUCUAAAAGUCUGGUAGUUGUUUUUUCCUUUGACAUCUGGUGGGAGAGUGUUCCACAGGGCGGGUGCCACUACUGAGAAGGCCCUCUGCCUGGUUCCCUGUAACUUCGCUUCUUGUAGUGAGGGAACUGCCAGAAGGCCCCUGGCACUUGACCUCAGUGUCCGGGCAGAAUGAUGGGGGUCUAGAUGCUCCUUCAGGGAUGGAACCUGGGACCUUCUGCAUGUAAAAAUGUUCUCUCACUGAGCUAUGGCCUUCCCCUUCAUAUGGACCAGCUGUCAGAGAAAUGAAUUGUUAUUAAGGAUAUGAGGACAUAAGAAGAGCCUGCUGGAUUAGGUCAGUGGCCAGUCGAACGGGGAUUCGAACCGCCAACCUUCUGAUCGGCAAGUCCUAGGCUCUGUGGUUUAACCCACAGUGCCACCUGCGUCCCAUGUUUAUAUGUAUAUGCUGAUACAUUUAAAAUGUUGAGAAGUGUACCACAACAUGUGGCAAAAUACAUGUGGUGGAUUGUUAAAUUCUGAUCCGCACACCAGUCUGAGAAGAUCAGCUCAUUGUACAUAGGAAUCACAACUCUUGAAUUUCUCAAACAUGCAUAUCUUUGGACACAUCAGGUACUCACUCAAAGCCUGAGGGGUCAUGCAUUUGCAGAAGUUUUGAGUACACCUCUCCAUCCAGAUACAGACACUGGCUCUCAGAGAUGGUUCUAAAAUUCUUCUUGUCCCGGUUUUGAAGUUCUGAGUACCCUAGUUUUAUUCCUGAAGUGGAGUUGAUACAUUAGGAAUACUACCCCAAACCAUAUAAAAGAUCUAAGCCAGAACUAUAUUAAUAGUCUAGCCUUCUCCAACUAGGAGUGUACAUAAGACCUUCGAGUCUCACAUCCCUUCUGAGAAUUGUAUCCUUUAGGGCCAGUGUGCUAAAUUCAAGGGUGAUGAAUCCAUUUCAAAGACCAUUCCCUGGCCAUCACAGAAGCGGAUUUUACUAGCUGUCUAUUCCAGAUAUUUGAUCAUGCCUCAUUAUCUGAAACUACUUGUUCUAUGUCUUUCCCCAUACUCCCUUUAAUGGAGUUUGUUGUUUUAUCAUUCAAUAAAGAUUAAAUCUUUGAAACUAAUCCUUUUGUACUGUGUUUGUAUUCUAAAAGUAAGUACUCAAAACUAGUUAAGUCUCUGUGUACAGAUCCCUUUACUGAUGUUUUAGUAACGAAAUGAUGUGCUUGGUGAAGAUUGAGCUAAUUGAUGUGUAGUCCUUGUAACUUAUUGACUAAUUUCUCUAUAGAUAGGCUUUAGACAUGUUUUUGAGGGAGAACUCAGCUGGUAGAACUGACUUUGGAUUUCACCACAUCACCUCAGAACUGCAUCUAUACAGUUCUCUCACAGCACAUUGGAAUGAUCUAGCACCCAUUUGGGGAACAACUGGCAUAGUUAUAAGAGAUCUGCAGGAGUUUCUUGUGUUUGGGGAUCUGAUCAUGUUCUGCAAUAUUAGAAAAGCAUUCAUUUCACUGUCUUGAACUAGUCUCCUGGUGUUCAUCUGAAGUUGUUUACCCUACAAUUUCCACCCUUUGUUUCUAGCUGUGCCCUCUGGACAAACACAGAACAAGUCUGCUUAAAAAUGGAAAACAGGGAAAUGAGAAUGCUUGUGAGCUCCUUGCAGCUUGUAGCAUCCUGAGGGACAGCAUGGCUGGCUGGCUGGCAGAAACCCUGAACAGUAGCACUUGUGCAAGGAUGGGAGGAGAUAGAACCUCCAACAAAAUGUUGCAGACUAUUUGUAGAAAUAGAGGGUUGCAUCCAUUGCUGCAUGAGCUUUGUUCCACUUACACAGCAGAACUCCCCUUGGAAGGGCUGCUCUGGUUGCACAACAGAACCUCCCCAUCAUCUCCUCUUCCAGCACCCACACCAACCCCCCCACAAUGUUCCAGAGAGUCCCCCAGCCUUCUGAACCAGAUUUUGAGGGUGCAUGGGUGUGUGGGAAUUAGACCCUCAUUCCCAUUUGCAGAGUACAGUUGUACCUUGGACCCUGAAAGCCUUGCGAGUUGAACAUUUUUGGCUCCUGAAUGCCACAAACCCAGAAGUGAGUGUUCUGGUUUGCAAACGUUCUUUGGAACCCAAACGUCUGACACGGCUUCUGUGGCAUCCAAUUGGCUGCAGGAGCUUCCUGCAGCCAAUCAGAAGUUGCACCUUGGUUUCCAAACAUUUUGGAAGUUGAAUGGACUUCCGGAAUGGAUUCCGUUCGACUUCUGAGGUACGACUGUAUGUGGAAUCAGCCUUUAAUUAGCCCCCCCCCCAAAAAAAACCACCUAUGCAAGACACUCUCUGUUAAAGUUUAAUUAACAUAUAACUUUUACUUAGUGUAUUUGUACUUGCAGAUUAAAAUAUACAAUGCAGGUGGAUGUUUCUUAAGUUGCUAAAACAUUUUACAUAGAUUUGUAUCGAAGGCUGACUAACAUUUACAGACUGACUGACACUGAGGCAGCAGCACAACACAACAUACUUGCUGCUCUGUUAAAACUGUCCUACUAACUGCCAUAACUGUACCAACUGAAAUAACUGCCACAGAGUGUAUGACAUUCUAGAGUUCUACAGCUCUUCAAUUAACCCUUUAAUACGCAUUUUGGAUGCUAACAUCCCUCAUAGGGUGGCUACAGGAAAGAGAAGAGGAGGAGGUUCUGUGGGAAAAGCAAAAAUCUGUUGCAUGAGUGAAACUGCAGCAUUGCAUACGAUCCAGAAUGUAGACCUAUAGUGUGAGAUAAGGCCACAAAUUCCAUAAUUUUGAAGGAACUCCUCCCUUCCCUGCCCCCAAACCUUCUAUGUUUGAAGUAAGAGAUCCACCUGCAAAUAAUAUGCAGAAAAAAUUGCAAUUGGUAUGACCAUUGUAGGUUUCCUGGCUAGCAUUAUAAAUUGUGCAUUCAGAUGGGAGGGAGGAAGACAAUAUGGCAUUUUGACGGUGGCCUGUUGUAAUGUUACAUAUUAUUUACUUGUGAGAUAAACAACAUAUUUUUUUUACCGAAUAAUAACGAGUUAUAAGUGGCAUUCCCAACUC